UACGUAGGGUGCAAGCGUUGUCCGGAAUUAUUGGGCGUAAAGGGCGCGUAGGCGGCCUUCUAAGUCAGACGUGAAAUCCCCCGGCUUAACCUGGGAACUGCGUCUGAUACUGGGAGGCUUGAGUAUGGGAGAGGGAUGUAGAAUUCCAGGUGUAGCGGUGAAAUGCGUAGAUAUCUGGAGGAAUACCGGUGGCGAAGGCGGCAUCCUGGACCAUUACUGACGCUGAGGCGCGAAAGCUAGGGGAGCAAACGGG
rnacentral:rRNA from 1 species